CCUGGCGGCCUUAGCGCGGUGGUCCCACCUGACCCCAUGCCGAACUCAGAAGUGAAACGCCGUAGCGCCGAUGGUAGUGUGGGGUCUCCCCAUGCGAGAGUAGGNUAGUUGAUAAUU
rnacentral:rRNA from 1 species